rnacentral:rRNA from 1 species
UUGGAGGGCAAGUCUGGUGCCAGCAGCCGCGGUAAUUCCAGCUCCAAUAGCGUAUAUUAAAGUUGUUGCAGUUAAAAAGCUCGUAGUUGAAUUUCGGGAUCAAUCUGUUGGUUGUGCCUUUGGUACGUACUAGCUUAUUGAUUUCUCCCUUCUGACGAACCAUGAUGUCAUUAAUUUGGUGUCAUGGGGAAUCAGGACUGUUACUUUGAAAAAAUUAGAGUGUUUAAAGCAGGCUCACGCUUGAAUACAUUAGCAUGGAAUAAUGAAAUAGGACGUUUUGAUUCUAUUUUGUUGGUUUCUAGGAUCGACGUAAUGAUUAAUAGGGAUAGUUGGGGGCAUUAGUAUUCAAUUGUCAGAGGUGAAAUUCUUGGAUUUAUUGAAGACUAACUACUGCGAAAGCAUUUGCCAAGGAUGUUUUAUUAAUCAAGAACGAAAGUUAGGGGAUCGAAGACGAUCAGAUACCGUCGUAGUCUUAACCAUAAACUAUGCUGACUAGGGAUCGGAUGAUGUUAAUUUUUUAAUGACUCAUUCGGCGCCUUACGGGAAACCAAAGUGUUUGGGUUC